AAGGUCACAUAAGUUGGCCAUAAGUUGUAUGGUGCACCAGCUUUUGUUGUGCGGAGGUUGAUAAGAAAGUAGCCUUGUCGACAACAAGCUUCGGCCUUAACCGGAUUUUUAGGCCUACUUCAGUUCACGACCAAUGAGGCAAUGAGGUGCACCAGAGGGUAAAGGGCUAUGGGUGCACUCACUGUGUAGGAUUGUGGCCAAACUUGCCAAUCGCUGAAGUCCAUCAACCCAGCAAAGGAAAUGCUGCUGCAGCUGAUAAUGUGUGGAGGAAGAUGUCCAACUUGGCUGCACUCUCUUUAAACCCGAGUGGGUCACAAGUAUGUGGAGUUGUCUUUCAAAACAAGUGAUUGGAGGAAGUCUACCCAUGUAGCACUGCCGUAAACUAAAUAGACUAUGCCAGAGUGUAUUAACUUUUAAUUCAUCCUCCUCACAUGCAAUCAUUUAAUUAUCUGAAUA